rnacentral:rRNA from 1 species
UACAACUUUCAGCAAUGGAUCUCUUGGUUCUCGCAUCGAUGAAGAACGCAGCGAAUCGCGAUAUGUAAUGUGAAUUGCAGAUUUCCAGUGAAUCAUCGAAUCUUUGAACGCAUCUUGCGCUCCUUGGUAUUCCGAGGAGCAUGCCCUGUUUGAGUGUCAU